rnacentral:rRNA from 1 species
AGCGCAGGUGGUUUAUUAAGUCUGGUGUAAAAGGCAGUGGCUCAACCAUUGUAUGCAUUGGAAACUGGGAGACUUGAGUGCAGGAGAGGAGAGUGGAAUUCCAUGUGUAGCGGUGAAAUGCGUAGAUAUAUGGAGGAACACCGGAGGCGAAAGCGGCUCUCUGGCCUGUAACUGACACUGAGGCUCGAAAGCGUGGGAGCAAACA